CCCUUAGAUGUUCUGGGCAGCACGCGCGCUACAAUGGUCUUCGCAAACGGAUGCAUUCUCGAAGUAGAAUGCCAAUCUUGGAAUCUAUGCCUUGGUCGGGACAGUUGCUUGCAAUUUUUCGACUCGAACCAGGAAUUCCUUGUAAUCGUGAUUCAUCACAUCACGAUGAAUACGUCCCUGCCCUUUGUACACACCGCCCGUCGCUCCUACCGAUCGAAGAGUUAGGUGAAUUGUUUUGAUCGAUAAGAUUUGACUAUGGUCAACUCUCGUUGUGAAAUUCUGUGAAUCUGACUGUUUAGAGGAAGGAAAAGUCGUAACA
rnacentral:rRNA from 1 species